UACGAAGGGUGCAAGCGUUACUCGGAAUUACUGGGCGUAAAGCGUGCGUAGGCGGUUUGUUAAGUCCGUUGUGAAAGCCCUGGGCUCAACCUGGGAAUUGCAGUGGAUACUGGCGAGCUAGAGUGCGGUAGAGGAUGGUGGAAUUCCCGGUGUAGCGGUGAAAUGCGUAGAGAUCGGGAGGAACACCCGUGGCGAAGGCGGCCAUCUGGACCAGCACUGACGCUGAGGCACGAAAGCGUGGGGAGCAAGCAGG
rnacentral:rRNA from 1 species